CACAUCGAACAGCUGAAGAGACCACCUGCCGGAAUCCAUAAUUCGCCGCACCACCAAGCCAGUGUUCGAUCAAGAGCGGUGGUGUGGAUGCCGCAAGCAGCAAGCAGCUGCAGCAGACUGGAAGAGGAAAGCUGAGCAGGAACCCGAGAAAUUGACGUCCUUCAUGGUCGGGUUUUGCAAAGGGGGCAAACCAAAGGGGUAGAGCCCUAAGCCGGAGGUAUAGGGGCUAUCUGCAAUGUCUUGCUGUUCUGUUUCUUCUGCACUUGACGAAGUCCUCAGAGUUAUUUUCAGCUUGCUGAGUAGUUUUGGUCCAAAACCAGUUACCACCUAGUAUCAGAAAAAACUGCCAAAGAAUUGGGUGGUAUUUUCACUUCCCAUUCCACUUCAGCAUAGACUGGUCCAGGCUGACCUCUUAAGACCAGGCCAGGGAAAAGGAGAAGUGAAGAAGAAGAGGAAAAGAGGAGCUAGAGAAGAUGACAUGAAUGGGUGGAAGAAAAAGAAGAUGAAGGAUUGUUAGAGAACUAGAUGGAAUUCUUAAAGGCUUCUUAUCAACGAAGCUUCUGCACAUAUACAUUAAACUGGACCUGCAUAUUCUCACAAUAAUAUUCAACUUCUAUAGUACUUUCUCAGUGUCUCUGUUUUAUUCCAGCAGAUGGGCAGGAUGUAUCAUUUUCCAGGAAGUUUCGAGGUUCAAAACUAAAAGGGAGGCUGGACAUGGCCAUGCUUAAAGUUAUCUCACAUUUCUUGACAUCAAGUGGUAUUUGUUUGGUGGUCCUUGCUGCAUCCUAUUGGACAAAAUCUAUCACCAAGAUACUCCUUGCCUGCAACAUGUUCAAUGAGUAUGGAUUCUAUUCAGCAUGACAUCAUGUAUGUAAUAUGUCAACUAUGUCAUGUAGCAUUGCAGGACGGUCUCAUUUACCCAUCGCACCUUAUCUUAAUGGUCCACCAAAAAUCCUAAGCACACGGUUAGCUUUGCAAAUUUUAUGUUUAUGGUUAUUGUUUUGGUGUCGUAUCUCCCCCUCCCUCCAUCAUACUGUUAGUAGCUCAUUGUCUCUAGAUAAUUUCCUUGAGCUAACCUGCAUUGACUUACCAUGAUCAUCCAUCAGAUUAGAUUUUAUUACUGAAAAUUAGCACAUUGACCUUUUUGGGGAUCAGGUUUUGUGAUCUUAGCAUCUUUGUUAGCAACAUAAUUUUCUGAAGUUUAGACCUACUUAAUUUCUAGGAAGUUGGGAGCUGUUCUUGCUAAGACGUUCAAACUAGCUAUUAGUUCCAGUCCUCUGCAGCCAGUUUACUUUGUAUUCCUUUUUGUUUCUCAAUCUGAGCAAUUUGUCAUGCAAUUGUUGCAUAUAUGAUCUCUCUCUAUUUAGGAUCCAUCUUGUGGAAAUUAACUUGCAGCACAGGAUGGUUCAUGUGAGUUGCUUUAUGGUUGCAUUCAUAAUUGUUUGUUAUAGUAUUGUACUGAUUUAUUUUGGUUUACUGAGAUAUUAUUGAGUCCCUGACAUGGUUUUCCACUUGGUUGACAGCCUUUGCUGCUGCUUCAAGACUGUUGUUUGAUGCCUGGAAUUCAUCUUCCCCUUCCUAUUCUGCCCACUGCUUUGCAUUUCUAGAUCCCACACAAGUUAUCUGGUGCAUAAACUAAAGGCACUUAAUGUGCUCCCUUAUGCAUGUGAUCUGGUGAAAGCCACGUUGAUUCAGAUACAGCAGAUGUUGUUCAAAGGCUUGGAAAAGGCAGGAGACAAGCGGCAUGAGCAACACAGAAAGUGGGAACAUGGCCAUGUACUGGCGCCUACUUCAGUGGACCUACAUCAGAUCAAGAAAGAACAUCCAAGAACAUGAAUGCAAACCACAAAGCAGGUACAAUGGUACGAUGGUGGUGGUUCUUUCACUGAUUGCAUCAUAUCCUGUGGCUAUAAUUUCUUUCGUUAUCUGAGUGCUACUCCAAAUAUUUGGUUGGCGCAUCAUCAUCAUCAUCAUCACGGUGAUGAUCGAGAAAGCCAAGCUGCCGAGUCGGUUCGGAGGCAUGGGAACCUAAGAACCGAGGCACGGGAAACGACGGGAUGAGAAGAGUGGCGUUGGUUGCUGGACCACAGGCUUGGUAUUAUGACAGAGUCGGUCUGAGCACUUUUUUGGGCUCUACCAUAUUUCUAAGACUUGGUACUUUCCAUGGAGUUGUUGUCACAGUGAUCCCAACAACAUACUGUUCAUUGACGUAUAUAUAUCAGGUAAUGGAUAACCCAACCGAGAGAGAGAGAGAGAGAGAGAGAGAAUAUUAAAUUACAUAUAUAUCUUGAUCGGUAUUGGUUCUUAUUGUCCGAUUAACUUGUUAAGUAUGAAAAGUAUGAAUCACUCUCCUGAGGGGUUUAAGCUCAAGCUAACAAUAGUGCAUCUAUCAUAUUGUUAUAAGUCAAGUAAGUUCUUGUCCUCUCAUCCAUGGUUAAUUAACU